UUUAUUUGGAAACAUUCGCUUUUGGAGGGCUGCUCCUUCAUCAGGAUGUGGGCAUCAAGGGCUUGGCCAGGAUUACUGCACAUCCGCAUUUGCCCACAGGGCAUUUACAUGUCAACCCCAUUGCUGUCUGGAGUCACAUGUAAGCCAGACCAGGGCCUAGUAAUGAAGUGGACUGUGAUAGAGCUGAAAAUGUGUUGCUGGAAAAGCGCAGCAGGUCAGGCAGCAUCCAAGGAGCAGGAGA